GCAUCAUGCUGGAUAGGAUACGGAUUUUGGGCAAGAGGUGGAUGUGAGCGUGGUGGCGGUGGUGUGCUGGAUGUGGUCGCGGCCGGACAGACUAAAACCUGCGCCUGGCUCUACCCGGAACCAUUAUGCAGACAGGAAACAACCAUUUUAAGGCCAGGAGCAUCCGAGGAGCCGUCGUCUACAGAGGGGGGGGACACCUAAAGCUGACACGGGGCGGAGAGCAACCAGCCGGGGAGAAAAGAGGGAAUAACACGACGGGAACAAAACAAAGGCUCCGUGUGAGGGAAGAGGAGCAGUGAGCCACUCCAGCUGCAUGACUCUACUGUCACACAGACAAUGGACUUAUCGGGGCAGGCCAGCGGAAACAGUUUUUGUUAGCGAGAGAAAAGCAGCCCUCCCGGGCCGAUGGAGAGCCAGGCCUCUCACUCCGCUUUUCCCUGGAUGAAGAAAAAGGCCCCGCUGACAGGCUUUAGGGACCCCGUUCUCGCGGUGCACAGCCACCUUCGUGUGUUCACAUUUUUACUUCCUUGGUUCUGAGUCUGUUUUUUCGCACCCAGACGUCGCAUGCUACGAGAUUGUGGACCUGAAGUCACCGGUUUUCCCCGGACUGUCCUCCCCCCUCAUUCAGCGCCGUGGUCCAGCCAGCAGGGUGCUCCAGAUACAGACCUGUGGAUCAGCCGAAGUGUACUUUGGAUGCAUAUUUUUGUUCAAUAUCUAAUGUUAAUCUAUUUGCUUGAAUUUUUGUUUAAUUGGGUAUAAAGGGAGACAAAACUUAAGAAGUAAAAAAACAAACAAAACAAAACCAUUAAAUUUUAAACAUUAGAAAUGGCUUAAAUUGCUGCUAUUACUGCUGUUUCUUACCGCAUUAUAAGUAUUGUGGUUUUGGGGCUGCUGGAUGACAAAAUUAACCUUUUAAUGACAGCUCCUGCUGUGAGAUGUUUGUGAUGAUAUUUUCCAGAAGACAUUUUCUAAAUGCUUUCCUUCAGCAGACAUUAUUGGUAAUAAAUGCACUCAGUUGAGCUCUUCCUUAGUAAUGCCACCUGAUGAUAGACGAAGCAGUGCAGUCUACUUUGCAUUGUCACGGGAAUUUGCAUGUAUUGACCCAGUGAAGCAGAAAACAUGUAAAUAUGAUUUUUUUUUUUUUUUUAAUCCUAAUGUUCCGCCAAAUCUGUUUUACUUUUCUGGAGAUAAAUAUUUAACUUUACCAGUUCACAAAUUUUAAGAUUUUCUGGUGUUGUGGUUGCUGUUGCAUUUUUUAUUUUUUAUUUUUUUUUGCAGCACCAUUAUGGCAUUUUAUGCUUUACAUUGUUUAUAGCUCUCUAUUGUAUGUUCCUCUGAGUUUUGUGCAGAAUAAGAGUGAAAUGAGCGUCCACCACAAGUGCACAGAGCCUGGAAAGCCUGUGUUGACAUACAAAUCUGAUAACCACCAGUGGGAUACCUGUUAUCUCUGACCUGGGUUUUAGCUGUUGUUGAACCAAAUAACAGAGAAAUCCUGACUACGUUGAGCUUGCUUCAUAGUAUUCACCCCAGAUACAGGCAGUUUUUUUAAAUAUUUUAGUGUAACAUAACUGAUUGAGUGGAGCCACUAAAGCAUGUUGCUCAAGUUCUUACAUUCAGUAAGAAUUUGUCCUUAUGAAUGUAAAAGGCCUUCAUCAAACCACCUGUGUGCAUAGUUAAAAUGUGAAAGAAAAUGGUAUAUUCUCUGCUCCUAUUAACCAGAGGUUUGUUUUUAUUUUGAACAAAAUAUAAAUUGACUAAUGAACACUAUAAGCUAAUGUGGAU
ensembl:lncRNA